CCAAUGACCUUUUGGCUUUGAGAAGAGCAGUCCUCAUACCAGAGUGUUUGGGGUUUUCGCCUUUUUCAGUGUUUAUUCAUUCUUACAUGGGAAAGUCGUAUUCUGAGGUUUCUGUGGUGCAUGAAGCUUUUGCCUUCACCAUCUGUUCCCGUGUCUUCCUCGGGUGACAUCAGAGUACAGCAGUAUUUUCCCUUGCCAUCUAAUGGGGUUUUGGGCUGUUUGACUCAACCGUGUGUGUUCCUCAAUGCCAGGAGAAUAAUCCUACCCUAAGUCAGCUGAACAGAAGCCAGGAUCUAACUGCAAACAAGAGACCCAGCUUUCUUAACAGCAUGGAAGAGACCAGUUUUGUUGCAGCUACCUGGGAAGAUGGUUGCUAAUUAGCCUGCAACAAAGAGUUCCUUGCUCAUCUAAAACAGGCAAUCACUGUUCGGGUGAAGCUUUGUUCUAAGAAUAUUUGUUUCAUCUAGUUUAUGAGCCCAAAUGAUAUAGACUCUAAAUGUUACAGCAGUGGUGAAAGACUGCUCGGUCAUGAGCACCGACAGUAACUCAUUGGCACGUGAAUUUCUGACCGACGUCAACCGGCUUUGCAAUGCAGUGGUCCAGAGGGUGGAGGCCAGGGAGGAAGAAGAGGAGGAGACGCACAUGGCAACCCUUGGACAGUACCUUGUCCAUGGCCGAGGAUUUCUGUUACUUACCAAGCUAAAUUCUAUAAUUGAUCAGAGAUGGGGUUUCACCGUGUUGGCCAGCUGGUCUUAAACUCCUGACCUCAAGCAGUCUACCCCCGUUGGCCUCCCAAAGGCUGGGAUUACAGGUGUGAGCCACUGCACCCAGCCAAGUUUAUGUAUUUUUAUUCUUUUUCAUGAGUGUGAUUUGUUAAAUGAGUGAUUAAAUAUAAUUUUAUUUUUAUAUAUUUGUAUGACUUUUCUGUAAAUAAAAUUUAAAAUCAGAAAAAAUCA
rnacentral:sRNA from 1 species